rnacentral:rRNA from 1 species
UACAGAGGUCCCAAGCGUUGUUCGGAUUCACUGGGCGUAAAGGGUGCGUAGGUGGCGAGGUAAGUCGGAUGUGAAAGCUCGGAGCUCAACUCCGAAAUGGCAUUGGAAACUACCUUGCUAGAGGGUCGGAGGGGGGACUGGAAUUCUCGGUGUAGCAGUGAAAUGCGUAGAUAUCGAGAGGAACACCAGUGGCGAAGGCGAGUCCCUGGACAACACCUGACACUGAGGCACGAAAGCUAGGGGAGCAAACAGG